UCGAGGUGGAUAGAAGCCCCUUCUGGCAAGCCCUCCAGGAGCCCGUGGGCAGUACAAGCAGGAACUGGAUGAAUUUGUCUUUGAAGAACCUGGACAUGACAGUGAUGAACUUUAAA